CCUACGGGAGGCAGCAGUGAGGAAUAUUGGUCAAUGGGCGUAAGCCUGAACCAGCCCAGUCGCGUGAGGGAUGAAGGUUCUAUGGAUCGUAAACCUCUUUUAUAAGGGAAUAAAGUGCGGGACGUGUCCCGUUUUGUAUGUACCUUAUGAAUAAGGAUCGGCUAACUCCGUGCCAGCAGCCGCGGUAAUACGGAGGAUCCGAGCGUUAUCCGGGUUUAUUGGGUUUAAAGUGUGCGUAGGCGGCCUUUUAAGUCAGCGGGGAAAGUAGGUGGAUCACCCAUAGAAUUGCCGUUGAAACUGGGAGGGUUGAGUAUGUUUGAGGCAGGCGGAAUGCGUGGUGUAGCGGUGAAAUGCUUAGAUAUCACGCAGAACCCCGAUUGCGAAGGCAGCCUGCCAAGCCAUGACUGACGCUGAUGCACGAAAGCGUGGGGAUCAAACAGGAUUACAUACCCCUGUAGUC
rnacentral:rRNA from 1 species